rnacentral:tRNA from 1 species
UUCUGCGUAGUUUAGCGGUCAUGACGGGGCCUUGUCAUCGUGCAUACGGCCCAGACCCGGGUUCGAUUCCCGGCGCGGAAG